UCCGUAGGGGUGAACCUGCGGAGGGAUCAUUACUGAGUUUACGCUCUAUAACCCUUUGUGAACAUACCUAUAACUGUUGCUUCGGCGGGUAGGGUCUCCGCGACCCUCCCGGCCUCCCGCCUCCGGGCGGGUCGGCGCCCGCCGGAGGAUAACCAAACUCUGAUUUAACGACGUUUCUUCUGAGUGGUACAAGCAAAUAAUCAAAACUUUUAACAACGGAUCUCUUGGUUCUGGCAUCGAUGAAGAACGCAGCGAAAUGCGAUAAGUAAUGUGAAUUGCAGAAUUCAGUGAAUCAUCGAAUCUUUGAACGCACAUUGCGCCCGCCAGCAUUCUGGCGGGCAUGCCUGUUCGAGCGUCAUUUCAACCCUCAAGCUCUGCUUGGUGUUGGGGCCCUACAGCUGAUGUAGGCCCUCAAAGGUAGUGGCGGACCCUCCCGGAGCCUCCUUUGCGUAGUAACUUUACGUCUCGCACUGGGAUCCGGAGGGACUCUUGCCGUAAAACCCCCCAAUUUUCCAAAGGUUGACCUCGGAUCAGGUAGGAAUACCCGCUGAACUUAAGCAUAUCAAUAAGCCGGAGG
rnacentral:rRNA from 1 species